UACGUAGGGUGCAAGCGUUAAUCGGAAUUACUGGGCGUAAAGCGUGCGCAGGCGGUUGUGUAAGACAGAUGUGAAAUGCCCGGGCUUAACCUGGGAACUGCAUUUGUGACUGCACGGCUAGAGUGUGUCAGAGGGGGGUAGAAUUCCACGUGUAGCAGUGAAAUGCGUAGAUAUGUGGAGGAAUACCGAUGGCGAAGGCAGCCCCCUGGGAUAACACUGACGCUCAUGCACGAAAGCGUGGGGAGCAAACAGG
rnacentral:rRNA from 1 species